rnacentral:rRNA from 1 species
GACAGAGGGUGCAAGCGUUGUUCGGAAUUAUUGGGCGUAAAGGGCGCGUAGGUGGCCGCAUAAGUCGGAUGUGAAAGCCCAGGGCUUAACCCUGGAAGUGCAUCCGAUACUGUGUGGCUUGAGUCCCGGAGAGGGUCGUGGAAUUCCCAGUGUAGAGGUGAAAUUCGUAGAUAUUGGGAGGAACACCAGUGGCGAAGGCGGCGACCUGGACGAGGACUGACACUGAGGCGCGAAAGCGUGGGGAGCAAACAGGAUUAGAAACCCGCGUAGUCC